GACCGUGAGUCAGUCAGGAUACUUUUUGCUAGCAAUUUGAAAUCAUUCUGAAGUUGAAGAGAUUACACUCGUAUGGAGUGAGGUGCUGUUGCCGUAAUGGAGCUCAGCAGGGGAGAGGUGCCACUUUAUGUGAGUCUGACACAACGACUUAG
rnacentral:lncRNA from 1 species